GGAUGGUGGCGUUGUGGAGGUUUGGUCGUCUCAGUCGUCGUCCACGGUGGGUGUGAUGGUCACGCCCCUCCUGAUCUGCCCCCAGCCAAUCAGACUGAGGAACACACAGGAAGCAGCGGUUACACACCUCACAGCUUUUGUGAAGAAACUUCUAACUUUGCUUUUGAAAAAUGGUCUAGAAAUAUUAUUAAGAAGAAGAAGAAGAAGAAGAAGAAGAAGAAGAAGAAGAAGAAGAAGAAGAAGAAGAAGAAGAAGAAGAAGAAGAAGAAGAAGAAGAAGAAGAAGAAGAAGAAGAAGAAGAAGAAGAAGAAGAAGAAGAAGAAGAAGAAGAAGAAUAGAUGUUAGUUGGUAAUAAUGAUAAUCAUAAAUAGUAGAAAUAAUAGUAGUUGUUAUAGAAGUUUUAGUAGUAAUAUUAAUAGUAGUAGUAACAACAAUAGUAAUAGUAGUUGUAGUAGUCAUAGUAGUACCUAUACUAGUAAUAGUAGCAGUUGUAGCAGCAAUAAUAGUAGCUGUAAUUAUAGUAGUUGCAGUAGUUGUUAUACAACUACUAGUAGCAGUUAAAAUAGUAGUAACAAUAGUAGUAGUUGCAGUAGUAGUAAUAUGACAACUAGUAGUAUUAAUAAUAGUUGUAGCAGUUGUUGUAGUUAUAGCAGCUGUAGGAGUUGCUAUACUCCUACUAGUAGUAGUUAUAGUAGUAACAAUAAUAGCAGUUGUGGUAGUUGUAGUUAAAGCAGCUGUAUUACUACUAACAAUAAUAGUCAUGAGAAUUAUAGUAGCUGCAUUUACAGUAGUUGCAGUAGUAGUGGUAGUAGUUACCGUAAUAGUAGCAGUAAUAGUAGGUGUUGUUAUUGUUGCAGUAAUAGUAGCUAUACUAGUAGUAGCAGUAGUAACAAUAGUAAUAAUAGCAGUUGUUGUAGUUACAGUAGUUGUAGUUGUUCUACUAUUGGUAGUAGUAGUAAAAAUAACAGUAAUAUUAGUGUUAAUAGUUUUUGUAGUUAUAGCUGUUAUUGUUCCAGUAGCAGUAAUUGUAGUAGUAAUUGUAGUUGUAGUAGUCAGUACAGUGAGUAGUACUGAGAUGUACGUUGCUUUGGAUAAAAGCGUCUGCUAAAUGAAAUGGUAGAACUGUAGUAGUAAUAAUUGUUAAUAAUAAUACCAGUGUUGGUUUAUAAUAGAAACAGUCAUUAAUAGUAGCUUUAGCUGUUGUAAUUAUUAUUAAUAACCUUCCACACUAGAAAUGUAGUCCAAAACAAUCCUGUCACUAUUUUGACUGAACGCUGAAGCUCCGCCCAGCUCUACUCUGAUUGGUUCAAAGACAGACGGCGUGUUCCUGCUUCCUGGUUCUUACCGCCAGUGUUUCUCCACACGUCUGCUCAGAGCGAUCUUCUCCCCCACCUCUGUGCACACAGGGUUGGUGAGGACGAUCUUGGCCAGAUCGGCCUUGACGGCGCUGACGCGGCCGCCGGUCGACAGCGAGCCGAUGUUGACCAUCAGCACCUCGUUCUUGGACAGUUUCUGGACCUGCAGAUGGACAGACAGACGGAGGAAACGUUGAGAUCUAAAGUCCAGGAGCUGCAGACACACAGCUGUGUACAGUCAGGACUACGUUUCCCACGAUGCACAGCAGCUGUGCAUCGUGGGAAACGUAGUCCUGACUGUACACAGCUGCAGACACAGCAUUCAAUAAAAUAAAUUCAGCAUGGCACAGAAACAGUGAACAGAGCAGCAAGUUGUUGGAGAUACAUUCAGCAUGGAGAAACAUCUUUCUACUGAUGAUGAGCAGAGUAGAGAGGAAAAGUCUUUAGAGGAAACAUGGAGAUAGAAAAAUACCUCAAGUAUGAGGAGACAACAAAGAGACAAAAAAUGACAAAACCGAGACACAAAAAAUGACAAAACCAAGACACAAAACGACAAAAAUGAGACUAAAAAUGACAAAAACGAGACACAAACGACAAAACUGACACACAAAAUGAGAAGCGAGACAACAACAUUAGAGAAAAGAGACAACAGUGGACCUAAAAUUUGUCUUAAAAUCGUCCUAAAUGUAAACAGCUGUGUCUUCAGCUGUUCACUACAUUUCCCACGAUGCCCGGCGGCCUCACCUUGGCGGCCUUCUUGUCUCCUUCUGUACGGACUCCCAGCAGCCUCCUGAGCAGGAAGUAGGAGAUCUCCAGCUCGGUGAAGAUCUCUGGCAGAGCUCCGACGGCGCCCAGCACCUGACCGACCAUCCGAUCGGCUCGGCACAGCGUCGGGUCGAUCUUGGUGCCCACACCUGCAACACGACACAGUGGGGAAAAUCGCUUUGUUACAACAGUUAUCAGUAGAAAAAUAGAAAAUAAACCAAAAAUACACAUAAGUAGUGGUUCACCUGCACCUUUUUUAAACUUAGCUUUCUCUACAUUCCUUUGUUUUUACUACAACACCAGUUAAAGCUGGAUAAAAAACACAUUUUCUAUGUUUUUCUUGUUAUAUUUGGACACUUAGUUAACCCAGUACUUUAUUUUACUGUCGUGUUUGUAGGUCCUGAUAUUGCCGAUUAAACAUUAUACUUCUCAGUUCUUUGUUCUGAUUUGUUCCAGCCUGUAUCUUUGUGAUCGUCCUCCAGCAGACCUUUACCUCCACAUCUAAACAUCCAGCUGGUUUUGAACUUACCGAUGAGGCCUCCUGGUGCAGCGUACUGCAGGUCGUUGUGCUCGGCGAACAGAGACACGAUCUUGGAGAAGAUGGGUUUGCACAUCAGCUUCCCUUCCUGGUCUUUGGACACGAUUCCUGGACGCACCUCAAUCUCCUGACCUACCUGGACGUCACACAGAGAAGAGGACGACGUUCAGACUGAAUCUUAGCUCCAUGACAUCAGUUACCAUGGAGAUCUAGCUCCACGGCAUCAGUUACCAUGGAGAUCUAAGCCUGCAGCAUCAGUUACCAUGGAGAGCUAGCUCCACGGCAUCGGUUACCAAGGAGAUUUAGCCAUGCAGCAUCAGUUACCAUGGAGAUUUAGCCCUGCAGCAUCAGUUAUCAUGGAGAUCUAGCUCCACGGCGAUCUAUCCAGGUUGAAAGCUUUCUUGAUACAUUCAUUUCAACACACCUGCUAACCUCUAAUUUCUGUUAUAAUUCAGAACUCUGGCUCUUUAUAAAGUCUCACCUUCAGGACCCCCUUCAGGAUACUUCCUCCAGCCACGCCUCCUUUCAGGUCAUCAACUUCACAGCCGGGUUUGUUCACGUCGAAGGAUCUGAUGACUAAAGAAGAAACGAGACAUUUACAAACAGAAAAACAACCAGUGAAGAAAGAAGCGAUGUGUGUUUGUUUAUUUUGUUCCUACCGAUGAGUCUGGGCUCGGAGGUGAAGUCUCUGACGGGCACUGGGAUCUUUUUGACGAUGUACUCACAGACCACCUCGAUGUUGUACUUGAGCUGGGCGGAGAUGGGAAUGAUGGGAGCGCCCUCGGCAACCGUACCUGCAGGAGGAACGUCAAGGUUUUACAACAAACUGUGAACAUUUUCUGGACAUUUUAGCACAACAACAGCAACCUGUCACACUUUUAAUAGACAGCAGGUGAUGGACAGGUGAGAUCUACACUCAGAUGAGGUAUUAAGGGUUUUAUGUAAUGUUCUGCUCACCCUGGACGAAGGCGAGGAUCUGCUCGUACUGCUCCUUGGCCUGGCUCUCCUUCACCAGGUCAAUCUUGUUCUGCAGGAUGAGGAUGUGCUUCAGCUUCAUGAUCUCUAUGGCGGCCAGAUGCUCCGACGUCUGGGGCUGAGGACACGACUCGUUCCCCGCUGGUAAAACAAAAAAAACACACAAGACGUUUUAAUCACGUUUAACGUUGGAGCUUUGAUAAAAGCAUAGAUUUCCUCACUGGACACAAAGAAUCCUUUAAAUCUAGAGUUUAAUCUGCUUCCUGAGGGGAGACACAAACGGAUAUGAGAUCAUUUAUUCUAUUAGAUUUAGAAGUAAAUGUGUGUUUUUUUUCAUGUUUGUGUUGCUUAAUUUGGCAUUUAAGAGAUAAAAAAUGCAGAAAAUGUUCAAAUAUGUUGAAAAUUUUAGUGAGAAAUUAAUUUACAGAAGAAGAACCCCAAGACUUUUUGUUACUAGCAGGAGAUGUCUAGUCUCUGGCAUCCUGCGUCACUUUUUUCAGUGGAAAAUUACAGCAGAAAUGUUGUUAUUCACCUGUGUAUUUGUGCUUCCUCAAGUUUGUGCUGAUUAAUUUGGCAUUUUAGAGUCAAUGUGGCCACAUGGAAGCAGAAAAUCUAAACAAGAAAGUCCAUCACAGAGCAUUAACCCCUUAUUUUUACUUUAAAAAGAAUAAAAAGUUGGAAGCCUUUUGCUUAUUGGACUCAUACAGCGAACAACAAAGAACAUAAGAACGGAGGAAUCACUCAGAUUAGAGAACAAGAGCAGAGAUGUCGCUUUGUGACCCCAUAGAGUCACAUUAACAGGAAACAACCCAGAGCCAUCCUCUAAAUAAUCACAUCAGUUAAACAAAACCUCUUCUUCCAGCUGGAGUUAAUCAGAGACUCACCGAUGAGCAGGAGGGCGGCGUCCAUGACGGCGGCUCCGUUCAACAUGGUGGCCAUCAAAAUGUCAUGACCAGGACAGUCCACAAAGGACACGUGUCUGAGAGGAAGAGGACAAACGGCUCGUUAAAAUAAACCGUUUGGUCGAGAAAACGGCAGAAAACAGCAACAGAGAGUCUUCAAAUAUCUGACAAACAGCCCAAGAAAACAAAGAUAGUUAGUUUACCGUCACAAAAGAGGGAAAAAAAAAGAAGUAAAAUACCUGUAUGUGUGAUGCAGGAAGGAGAGAUUUUUUUAAAGAAAUGAAUCAAUAAAAUAGAAGUCCAGCUGCUUUUUUAUUAAAGCUAAUAGGAUUACUGAGACCUGGAACCUGGACGAACGAUAUGGUGUUUGUUUGUAGAGCCAACACCAAUGCCAAUUACUGAAAAUCAAGAAAAGCCGAUAACCAAUAUUUGGAGAUGAUAUAUGAUUGAAUAUUAUGUAUUAACUGCAUAUGAUAGGAGGGAACCUGUCAUUCUUUAUUCUGUUUUACACAAUUGUUUAACUAAGUGAUUGAUCAGUUUAUGUUUGAUUGUUUGGGAUUGAUCAGUUUGUCUCUAUUUGCCUGCUAACUUAGCUGCUAGCCGUUAGCAUGACAUUAGCCACUGUGAGAAGCUAAUUUCUACUUUGUGGUUCAGUUUUCUCUGAUUGAGAGACAUUUCUGUGACGACAGACAAAGAGAGGAGGCUGCAUCAGACCUGAAGUAGUGUAUGUAAUUUAUUAAUAAUCUGAAAAAUUCCUGUGAUCAGCCACAAUAAUCCCUAGAAUCUUCAGACAUAUCACUCAAAACCACGACUCCUUUUUUUACUCAAACAACUUCACUAUGAAUUAAGCAGUGUUUUCCAUCCAGUCUUACCGGACCAGUUUGAAGUUGCCCUUGGUGCCGGGGAUGUCUGUGGGAAACUCAUCAGGAGUGCUGCUGCCACACGACCGGUAACACUCCGGCCGGGGACAGCUGGGGUCGUCCAGCUUAUAGACCUGGAACAUGGAGGAGACGAUCAGCAUCUGGAAAUAUCUAUCUCCAUCUAAUCUGCUGCACGAACCUCAAACAAUGAACAGACCUGCUUUCAAAGAGUGAAAACGUCGUAUUGAAAAUGACAAAAUCCGACCAGCUGCUGAUUUACCGAUGUUGAUGGUGGCCUGUCUGCUGAUGAUCUCCUGGGACAGAGGCGUCAAGGUCGACACGUCCUGGAAGAGAACAAAUCGCUUUAGACCGGCAGAAAACAACAAGAGCAGCGCUGCCUCGGUCCGUUUAAUCCUGGAGGUGAAUGGGAACAAAGGCAGGCGGCACACUGACCCAUAAUAACCCCACAGAGCUAACAUGAAACACAGCUGUGACUGUCAGUACAUGUCCCCAACAUUACAACAGGUACGUUUGUGGCUUUUUAUGGUAGUAGAGUUUAAAUUAGAACCAAAUAAUACACUAAAAAUAUAGAAAUAUUGCAUUUAUUCAGACAAAUUUUGUGAUAUGAGUCAUGAUUUUAGUGGGGAUUGAGACUGUAAUCUGUUCCUUUGUGUCUACAGAAUAUGAUUUAUAUGCCAAGCAUCUUUGUAGAACCACAAAACUCACUUUAUAAUGAUGAUAACGUACUUUUUGACACAACAUUUGGACUAUUACACUUGAGACUAGAUCAUAUUUUCAUUCCUUAUUAAGCUCUGGUGUAAAUUAGCUAUUUCCCGCUGCAGGUUUUCUAGUUAGAAGUACUAAAUAUCAAAUCUUUCGUCAGAAAAAUAACCCAAACAAUAUAAAUCACAUACAUCCUGACUGAAUUCAUAAAUUUUGACAUUAUAUUUUAUUUAAUUUAGACAAAACGUCAUAAUUAUUAGGAAAUGAUUGUGUGAAUUUAUUCCAAAUAAUAUUUGCUGUCAAACCGUUUUUUUUCCCUGUUUGUGCUGCAUUAUCUGGACUUAAUAGCCAAAUUUGGGGUUACAAAACAACAUAUUAUGAACAUUACUAGAACAAAAUAAUUGUUCUGGGUAAAUUCACCGUCUUUCCAAUGCUAUCAAGGUUCUAGCCUCAAUAGAAAUCCUGUAAUUCCUAAUUUAUUAACCACAUGACACUAUGGUUCUCCUAAAUUGGGUGGGUUGGUGUUUUUGUUCCAUAAUAAAUCAUGUAAUUUACGCUUACUAAUGUUAAACAGACGCUUCCUAACCAUCAGAAACCAACAGGAAUGAAUAGAUUUAUAAUAUGACGGCAUUUUUUACUGUUUGUGUUACAUUAUUUCUAAUAUAUCUCAAAAUCUAGAGCUACAACAUGAUAUAUUAUCAAGUUUAUCAGUACAAAAUAAAUGUUCUGGGUGCCUUUUCUGUCCUUCCAAUGCUAUCAAGGUUUUAUUCUCAAUAAAAAUUCUGCAUUUCUUCAUUUUAAUACAGAUAUCGCACUAUGUUGAAUGUACAAAGCUCAAAAAUAUUGAUAUUAUUGUUAUUAUAAUAUUAUUGUUUAUGCGGCACAUUAAUUCAUUAAAUUUAGACUUUAACUGUUUAAACAGAGGCUUCCUUAGCAUCAUAAACCAACAGGAAUGAAUGGAUCUAUAAUCUGGCUGCAUUUUUUCCUGUUUGUGUUGGAUUAUUUCUAAUUUAUCUCAAAAUCUAGAGCUAGAACACAAUAUAUUAUGGA